rnacentral:rRNA from 1 species
AAGGAAUAUUGGACAAUGGACGCAAGUCUGAUCCAGCCAUGCCGCGUGAAGGAUUAAGGUCCUCUGGAUUGUAAACUUCUUUUAUAAGGGACGAAAAAAGGUCUUUCUAGAUCGUCUGACGGUACCUUAUGAAUAAGCACCGGCUAACUCCGUGCCAGCAGCCGCGGUAAUACGGAGGGUGCAAGCGUUAUCCGGAUUCACUGGGUUUAAAGGGUGCGUAGGCGGGCAGGUAAGUCAGUGGUGAAAUCCUAGAGCUUAACUCUAGAACUGCCAUUGAUACUAUCUGUCUUGAAUAUUGUGGAGGUAAGCGGAAUAUGUCAUGUAGCGGUGAAAUGCUUAGAUAUGACAUAGAACACCUAUUGCGAAGGCAGCUUACUACGCAUAUAUUGACGCUGAGGCACGAAAGCGUGGGGAUCAAAC